rnacentral:lncRNA from 1 species
UUGUCUAUUUUUACUCUUUUUUCACUAAAUGGCGCACCUUUUUGCUUCUUCUUUCCCUUACCCCCUUUCUUCCUGAGCUCCAUCUUUCUUUUCCUAAAAUAAUUUGUAGCUUCUGAAACUGACUGCAAUUCUUCAGCCAUAAUGUUCAAUCGUGUGUUUACACAGCUUAAGCUGCAGCAUGAGAAGUUAGGUGUCAGUUUCGUCUAUGCUCGUUCUGCAACUUGAAAUCUUAAUUAACCAAGGAAUUCUUAUAAGAAAAAGGAAACACAGCACACAAACACAACUACAACCUAGAUAAGCAUAAGCAUAAAUUACCAAUAAUAAGAAUAGGGUUUAAAGUUUUGCAGCUACAGAAUUCGGGCAUUGAAAUAAUCAAACUUUAUUUGCACUUAUGUAUCUCUCCUUCUUUUUCAAAAUUCUCGUUUUGUAGAAUCUAAAUGCAGAAUCAAUACACACGAGCAAAAACAGAUAAAUACCGAAUACACAAAACGCAGAAUAAGAAUGGAUAACUUAACAGAAUCUCAACUCAAAUAUGUGAAAUCUAUCAAGCAUAGAACACACAAGCUCAACAAGCAGAAACUGAAUUCACGGCUUCAACAAGCAGAAAUCAUCCUUCGAACUACUCUCGAUUCAAUUAUAGUUAAUCUACAGUUGUUUCUUUUAAAAAAAAAACUAAUAACGAUGGAACUUACCUGACGACGAGGAAGACAGACGAGCAGCAGCAGGCGGCAACCGACGGCAGAGACUCAGAGCAGUAGACGGCAGCUCUCAGUCUCGGCGGGUUGAGGGUUUUGG